rfam:Myotis davidii contig154803, whole genome shotgun sequence.
ACUCUAGGGAGGGGGCCCCUCAGCCCUGAUUUUGAGAGGGUGCAGGCCAGGCUGAGGGACCCCACCUGUGCACG